rnacentral:rRNA from 1 species
GACGAACGCUGGCGGCGUGCUUAACACAUGCAAGUCGAGCGGUAAGGCCCUUUCGGGGUACACGAGCGGCGAACGGGUGAGUAACACGUGGGUGACCUGCCCUCAGCUCUGGGAUAAGCCGUGGGAAACCGGGUCUAAUACUGGAUAUGACUCCAUGACGCAUGUUGGUGGGGUGGAAAGCCUUGUGCGGCUGGAGGAGUCGGGCCCGCGGCCUAUCAGCUU